UCUCCAGUCGACCGAUCGCGAGUCGUGGCCGCAGCGCUCACAUUCACUCCUCCAAGUUUACCCAGUAAAGUGGAACGAGAGAAACAAACAGCCGUGCGGAAUCAGAGCCGAAACCACUCAACGGAAACGACUUUCCCGCGCCUUUGACGCCGCUUUUCGUUUUUCCUUUUUCGCUUUUCGCUUCUCCCGCCAAUUUCCCCGCCGCGGAGUGGUCGACGAAUCGUUUCCACGUGUCCUCGCUGAUCUCGAGCCAGUUUUCGAAAUGGGGCGGAAUUGUCGACUGAAAAGAGUGAGAUAGUUCCGUCAGCCUUCCGAGGGCCCCGCGUUGUUUCCAGUGAGACGAAUUUGUAAACAAAACACGGUAGUCGUUCCAGGCUAUUUUCCUUUACUUCGUAAUUCAUUGUGAUAUUAGUGAUAAGUUAGCAUAAUGUCAGUGCGAGGACAAAUCCACCAAAAUUCAAACAGAAUGCUCUUCCUGCUCCUCAGGUACUGCGCUUUCGUCGCGGGCCUAGUUAGUUUACUUCCCGUCAGGACGCAUGCCAUCCAGUCGGAAACGCAAGCAAUGAUGUAUUUAUCCCAAUUUGGAUAUUUAAGUCCGUCUGUUAGGAAUCCAAAUUCUGGACAUUUAAUGACAGCCGAUACCAUGUCUAGAGCCAUUAGUGAAUUUCAGUCCUUUGCAGGCCUCAACAUAACUGGUCAUCUGGAUGGCGACACUCUUGAGAUGAUGAGCUUGCCCCGAUGUGGCGUUCGGGACCGUGUUGGAUUUGCAACCUCUUCCAGGAGUAAACGAUAUGCUCUCCAAGGUAGCAGAUGGCGAGUCAAGGAUUUGACUUACAAGAUCUCCAAGUACCCACGAAACCUAGGGAAAUCAGAAACAGACGAGGAAGUUCGCAAAGCAUUUUCAGUUUGGUCGGACGUUACGCCUUUAAGCUUCACGCAGAAAAAAGUUGGACAGGUGCAUAUCGAGAUUCGUUUCGAACGCGGAGAACACGGGGACGGCGAUCCCUUCGACGGACCCGGGGGCACGCUCGCCCACGCCUUCUUCCCUGUCUACGGAGGCGACGCCCAUUUCGACGACUCCGAAAAGUGGACCGUUAACUCCUACAGAGGGACGAACUUAUUCCAGGUGGCAGCUCAUGAGUUCGGGCACUCGUUGGGUCUAUCCCACUCGGACGUCCGCUCGGCCUUGAUGGCCCCGUUCUACCGUGGCUAUGAGCCCGCUUUCAACUUGGACAGCGACGAUGUUGAAGCUAUUCAGGCGCUAUAUGGAUCACGGGAUGACUCGGAAGCUCAUGGAUCAGAAGAUGACAACACAAGUGCCGGGAGUGGUAAGAAACCGAGUACAGAGGUACCACCAACGGAUGAUGGUGAAGAUGCCGAGCUUUGCACUGAUGCCAGAAUCGACACCAUCUUCAACUCUGCCGAGGGUGUCACGUACGCCUUCAAAGGUCAACACUACUGGAAACUAACAGAAGAAAGCAUCGCACCAGGCUACCCCAAACUCAUCUCCAAGAGUUGGAUUGGACUCCCGGGAAACAUCGACGCUGCGUUCACAUACAAAAACGGCAAAACUUACUUCUUCAAAGGCAGCCAGUACUGGAGGUAUACAGGCAAAACAAUGGACGGCGACUAUCCGAAGUACAUUUCAGAAGGAUUUACAGGCAUUCCAGACAAUUUAGACGCUGCCAUUGUGUGGAGUGGGAACGGAAAAAUAUAUUUCUUCAAGGGUUCUAAGUUCUGGCGGUUUGACCCCACGAUGAAGCCCCCUGUAAAGAGUACCUACCCGAAACCGCUAAGCAACUGGGAGGGUAUCCCUGACAACCUUGACGCCGCCCUACACUACACGAAUGGUUACACAUACUUCUUCAAAAAUGGCAUGUACUGGAGGUUUAACGACCGAACGUUCGCUGUGGAUUCGGCGGACCCGCCUUUCCCGCGGUCGGCGGGCUACUGGUGGUUCGGAUGUCGUUCGGCGACGAAGGCGGGCUCCACGCCGAGUCACUCGUCCGCCGCCACCGACACAGACGGGCAGGGCUCCGAGCUGGAGCCCAGCUGGGUCAUCGGCCAAGAGGGCAAACACAAGAAUCAAAACACCGACGUCGACGACCUCAUCCUAGACGCAGAAAUACCGAGUGACUCACUAAUGGACUUGAUCUGAAAAUUGCGACAUCUCCAGAUAGCUUUUUAAUUUAGUGGAUGUAUUUCGAAAUUUUCACUCAACUCUGAAACAUUCGGAAAUAUUCACAUGUAAAAUUCUCAUAUUUUUUUACAUUCUCAGAAGACGAACCAGUUUGGAUUCGUGAAUCAACAAUGAGAGCGAGCAACCCCGGCCUACCCAGGACUUCGUGUGACAAACCUCGAACAAACCAAAGCUAGCGGAAUUUAUUUAUUUCUGACAGAAUACUCGAAGCCCUAAUUUAUUGUUCUUCAGCGAAGCUUCUCCAUAUUGUGAUAUUUAGCAAUGAUAACUCGCCUUUGCUGACGGCCGAUCAUAGCGAUCCUGCAAUAAGCACGAACAGUCAAACGUGCGAACCUCUGAUAGUGGGAAUCACUGGAGCAAAAUGAACACGGAAGUUAAUAGAUAUGUAUACACAGUCAAUUCAUUCAUGAGCCCCAGCGUUGGUUGGUUGAAUUUGGAGGGAUCGAAGAGCAUCCGACAAAUGAAUAAACUUCUCUCAAUAACCAAUGAUAUAGCUUCAUUCAGUUAAGUUUUCAAGUAAGGCUCCAGAUGAAAUGGACGCAUACCAUCCGAUCAAAGAAUAUUGCACUCUCAGCGCUAUAAUGCUUACUUGAAAGUAACCAGAAACAUUGCAUCUGAAGUUCCGGCUCCGGAUUUUCUUGAAUAGUACAUGGGAUGAUCGUGAUUCAUGCAACUUAUCUACUUAUUUCUACGUUCUUUACGAUAUUUUAUUAAGUGACAGCGCACCUACUUAUACGAAUUGCGGAAGAUUAGUUUAAAAGAUGAAAUUGAAAAUAAUUGAGAUCUCUUAGGUGUUAUACCUAUAGAUGAGAAGUUUAAAAAAGUUUCUAAUGUGGAAUCAAUUGUAUUUAUGAUGAAGCUGAAAAUUUUUAAGCACAAACGAUGAAGUGUUCGACAAUUUUUGUUUUAUUUAUUUAUUAUUAUAGCUAUCCCAUCAUACAAUCCUGUCGUCCGUUUGGAUCGUCUCAAAAUUGUUUUAAUGGAAAAAGGAACUAUUUAAAUCCGACUUUCAAAAUAAUCCAUGAAAUUUCUAUGAAGGACGUGUAAAAAAUUUACUUAAGUUGCGACAACGAAUGAUUUUAUUUAGAAAUGAUACCUCUAGUUUGUUUGGACUUAUUAAGAAGAAUACUGUACCUGGACAUUGUAGUCUAUGUUUAAAAUAAUUAUUUCUGGCCAUCUACUUACGAUAUUUUUCCCUAUGAAAGGCAAACAACACACUGUUUCAAUAUAACGCGUGAAAGUAGCAUUUUGCUUAGGUCCAGUGACUCAAUUUGGACUCUAAAGUUAUUCAAAAAGAGCUAAGUACCUCGUGAGAACUGAUAAUAUUUCUCAUGAAAUGACACUCCAUGUUGACCCCUUUUCGGUGGCCCUUCAGAAUUCGAAGGGAGCUUAGGUAGAGGAGAAGAAACUUAGCAGGUCUGUGAUUCUGAAAACAUGUCUGAUACCUACGAAUAAAAAAAACCCUGAUGUUACCGACGAUUAAAUAAAAAUGUAAAUAUUAUGUAUGUACCUGACGUGAUUUUUUAAAUUAAAAUAAACUUUUAUAAUACGUUUCCAUCGAGA